AGAACGUCCACACACGCGCCUAGCUUCAACGUGUCGAUUGGGCAAGUCUCUGGCUUAGGUGGAGUUGGUGUUGGCGGUGUUACGACCGGUGGGCUUGGUGUUGGUGGCGUAACAACAGGUGGCGGUGGGCACGGUGAUGGCGGUGGCGGUGGGCACGGUGAUGGCGGCGUUACGACGGGUGAAGGCGUAUGAGUGGGUGGUUUAGGGGUGGACGGAGGUGGUUUAACAGUGGGCGGUUUCGUGGGUGGUUUCGGGGUAGACGGAGGAGGUUUAACGGUGGGCGGUUUCGUGGGUGGUUUCGGGGUGGACGGAGGUGGUUUAACGGUGGGCGGUUUCGUGGGUGGUUUCGGGGUGGGAUGAGGUUUGGUAGGGGGUUUCGGAUGUGGGUGUGGUUUGACAGUGGGCGGUUUGGUAGGGGGUUUAGGGUGUGGGUGUGGUUUGACGGUGGGUGGUUUGGGAGGUUUUACUGCCGGUGGUUUAGGCGGUUUGCUAGGAUGUUUAGGCGGUUUGUGGGGGUGAGGUGAUGGUUUAGGAGGGCUACAGUCGCAAGCGAAGGAGACGGCAAGAAAGCCAAGGAAGAGGAGGAUAAGAAAAGAGAGGUUUUGUGUACGAGACCCCAUUUUUCUAGAGUGAGGGUGUGGUUUACCCAAA
rnacentral:lncRNA from 1 species